rnacentral:rRNA from 1 species
GUAGCUGAAAGCAUCUAAGCACGAAACUUGCCCCGAGAUGAGUUCUCCCUGAGACUUAGAGUCUCCUGAAGGAACGUUGAAGACGACGACGUUGAUAGGCCGGGUGUGUAAGCGCAGCGAUGCGUUGAGCUAACCGGUACUAAUGAACCGUGAGGCUUAACCUUAC